AGAAGAAAGCACAAAAGGGACGGCAUUGCCCAAGAUCAUGUAACAUCUCCAAUAGAAAUGAAAGACAUCUGUAUGGGAACUGUUGAAUCAUGGCCUGAACCNGUUAACCUUACAACCUGUUAACCUUACAGACAUCCAAGGACAAAUGUGAACAGCUCCUAAGAAAGAAGAGGAAGGACAAAGAGCCAUAGAAAAACCAGACAUGCCAACUCUCAGCUUACUGGGGACAACCAGCAACACUGCUUCGGCUGUGACAUCAAACUACCAGAACAUGGGCUGCAGACGCACGCUCCAACAAGCUAUAUGCAAAAACACGCACCGGGAAAUAACGGUCCGCACGUGAGAAAAGGCGCAGGCACUUCCCUCACCGCACUCCGCUCCCGACGCGCUGUCCCUCACUCCUCACUCAGGCAGCGAGGCAGGGAAGGGGCGGGAAGCGGCGCCGCUCUCAGUCUCUCACAAAGUCCCGGGAAGAAAAGCGGAGCGCCCCGCGAGAGAACCGCGGCUGUGCCCGAGGCCCCACCGCCCCGGAACCGCGCUCCCUCGGCACGUCCGCGGCCCUCCAGGGGAGCCGCCCCGCCCUGCCCCGCUCCUCACCUCCGCGGGGCCUGCACUCCCCCCGCGGGAUCCGGCCCGGGGACGCGGCCCGCCCGCGCGCGCCGCAACUUCUCCCGACACCCCCGGGAGGCCGAGCGGGCGGGAAGCGACCGCCCGGCCCGAGGGCCGCCCCGCCGGCCCAGCCGCCACUCACCCGGGGGGGCUCCGCGUCCCGCUCCCGUCGCCGCCGCCCCCGGCCCCCCGCUGCGGCCCCCGGCGGGGCGGGCGGCGCCGCCUGUUGCUCCAUCGCGCUCCGGCCCCUCCUCCGCCACCGCCUCCGGGGGCCGCCGCCGCCGCCCCUCGCCGGACCGAUCCCGCUCCGCCCGCCCGGCCCACGGCGCCACGUUCCGGGCCCCGGCUCUGAGGAAACCGCACUGCCCCCGGCCCCGCCCCCGGGGCUGGGCUCCGCUCGGACCCCGGCCGCCCCCCGCCCGACAGCGCCGAGGCCGGACGUCCUGCUCCGAACCCGGCCGGAGCCCGAGCCCCGCUCGUCCCGCUGAGUCCGCCGGAGCCGAAGAAGCUUAUCAAAUGAUGUCAGGAAGGCAGAUACCACGUUUCUUAUUCAGUCCAUUCUAAG
rnacentral:lncRNA from 1 species